rnacentral:rRNA from 1 species
GACGUAGGGCGCGAGCGUUGUCCGGAUUUAUUGGGCGUAAAGAGCUCGUAGGCGGCUUGUCGCGUCGAAUGUGAAAACUCGGGGCUCAACCCCGCGCUUGCAUUCGAUACGGGCAGGCUCGAGUUCGGUAGGGGAGACUGGAAUUCCUGGUGUAGCGGUGAAAUACGCAGAUAUCAGGAGGAACACCGGUGGCGAAGGCGGGUCUCUGGGCCGAUACUGACGCUGAGGAGCGAAAGCGUGGGGAGCGAACAGG